UACAGAGGGGGCAAGCGUUGUUCGGAAUUACUGGGCGUAAAGGGCGCGUAGGCGGCCUUCUAAGUCGAACGUGAAAUCCCUGGGCUCAACCCAGGAACUGCGUCCGAUACUGGAAGGCUUGAAUCCGGGAGAGGGAUGCGGAAUUCCUGGUGUAGCGGUGAAAUUCGUAGAUAUGGGGAGGAACACCAGUGGCGAAGGCGGCCACCUGGAUGGUGACUGACGCUGAGACGCGAAAGCGUGGGGAGCAAAACAGG
rnacentral:rRNA from 1 species